rnacentral:rRNA from 1 species
GACGAACGCUGGCGGCGUGCUUAACACAUGCAAGUCGAACGGUAAGGCCCUUCGGGGUACACGAGUGGCGAACGGGUGAGUAACACGUGGGUGAUCUGCCCUGCACUUCGGGAUAAGCCUGGGAAACUGGGUCUAAUACCGGAUAGGACCACUGCCUGCAUGGGUGGUGGUGGAAAGCUUUUGUGGUGUGGGAUGGGCCCGCGGCCUAUCAGCUUGUUGGUGGGGUGAUGGCCUACCAAGGCGACGACGGGUAGCCGGCCUGAGAGGGUGACCGGCCACACUGGGACUGAGAUACGGCCCAGACUCCUACGGGAGGCAGCAGUGGGGAAUAUUGCACAAUGGGCGCAAGCCUGAUGCAGCGACGCCGCGUGAGGGAUGACGGCCUUCGGGUUGUAAACCUCUUUCAGCACCGACGAAGCGCAAGUGACGGUAUCUGACCAGAAAGCCACGGCUAACUACGUGCCAGCCGCCGCCGUAAAAC